GUUUUCUUCAUCUCCUUUAUUUUUAUUUUUUUAGCUCUUUGUGUUUUUCACCUGAAAUCAAAAGUGAGAAGGAAGCGCUAACAACUGCGCUGCGUGUCCAUGUCACUCCCAUAGAAGGAGCCCUUUCCGCGGUAUCUGCUGCCACCAUGUGGCCAAUGCGAGGAACUGCGCCGGGGGUGUGGGCGGGCGUGGUGGCGGCGUCUGUGUGGGGCGGUGGAGGUCCGAGGAGCUCCGGGAGCAUUUUGGGCACUCUGGACCCUCCCGGGCCCCAUACUGUUCCGCAGAGCACUACUGCCGCUCUACUGUCUCUGCUCUGUGCCGCCUGUCUGUACGGCAAUAGGGCCUCCCGAGCAAACUGUGCAUUGCAGGAAAACGAAGAAAUAGAGUUUCUUUGUUUACACCGCUCUGCGCCACCGUCCACCUAUGUCUAUGUUGUUUGGUCCUCCACGCACCAUAACGCAUGCGCCUAAAGUGCGGAAGUGGCGUGUCUAAGUUCUAACGGCUCUGCGCUGCGAAUCCCACAACCUUUACAGUGACUCCUCCUCUAGGCGUUAACGCGCAUGCGCACGAUCACUUCAAAAAUGGCGUCCGUUUCUACUAAGUCACUAACGCUGCCGAUGACCAGUCCCCUCCCGGGCCACCAGCUCUCCGCAGUUUUCCCCCAUCUAUUUCGCUAUGUCUUUUCUCUAUUUCCGCGUUUUUGUAACCGAGCCCGCUCCGGCAUCGGACCGUUGUGGCUCCUAGCUGCCUCUGCUCGCACGGCGGUAUCCGAUUGCUUCAUCCUCACAACUGAUUGACAGGUGCCUGCCCCAAUGAUGCGCAUGCGCACUAGCUGUGGCACUCACUGCUGCCGCCUAGUGAAGAAAAUUCCGUACUGCAGGAGCUGUUCCGCGCGAGUGCAGAUGCUCUCACUCGGCGCGCGGACGGCAAAACCGUGCAGCGAGCGGUUCAGCUGGGCGGCACUGAAACAGCGGGAACCGCGCAGAAAAAAACACAAACUGGGCCGGAAAAUGAACCCCUGUCCAACCGCGUGGGGAAAAAACAACACUUUGCUGCGCGCUUCUUACUCCCCUGCAUGCAGUGCAGCAAUGGCUAUGUUCUUCAUUCUGGCAGGCAGCACAGCAUGUUCCUCACGCAGGAAUGCGGAAGUGGUGUAUCUGAGUUCUGACCGCUCUGCACAGCAAAUCCUCCAGUCUUUAUUAUGAUUAGUCCUCCGGGCAAUAGCGCGCAUGCGCCUGAAAACAUAUAAACGGCACCCGUUUCUACGGACCGCUCAGGUGUGGGCGGACAGCCAAUGCUUGGACUGCCAGGUCACAGCCUGAACCGGUGAUUGAGCACCUGCUGAAGGGGUGUAGCCAGCCCUGAGAGCACAAGUGGAAGCAAUUCACAUGUGGGACCAGAUGGGGCUGAGCCUGGCUCCACCAUUCCCUGACCUCAUUUAAGGCUGGCAGCUGAAAAGGAAGCUUUCUACCUACCUAGCAACUGCCUCCUUUGGAGUGUUGGAUAAGCCUUGGACCUCAGGAAGGGGAGAUAAAGGGAUUAUCUCCUACUCGUUGAACUGCUGUUGAAGGAGUUGAUGUGUGUUCAUCUUUUUUCCACUACUGCCUUGUUUCUGGAAUGCUUCACUUAGCCCUAAGAUAGCCCUAGUAGGCUGACAAUGUGUUGCAGCUCUGGAAAUGCUGAGGCAGAUCCUUGCGCCAGUUGUGUAGGGAAGAACUGCCAACGAAUCGCUCCAUAUCAAAACCGAUCCCGUGGAUAUUUUCAAGCCUUGGGCGAACCGGACGGAGUCUCGGACUGGUGAGGCCAGGUACGGAAGCUGUUACUACUGUGCUUUUUCUAAAAGUGGCUCAGCUGUUUUGUGUUGCUCUGUUAAUCGUUCCGAACCACGCUUGGCUUCGCUGCAUGAACCUGUCCUAUUGAUACCAGCUUUUUUAAUCACCUCAGAUGCUGGAAAACAAAAUAAAAAAAUAAUAAAAAAAAGCAUGACACCAUCAACUCGAUGACUUAUUAA